ACGAAGCUUCGAGACUGAGCGAAACUAGAAUUCAAAAAGUCCAGGCUUUGGCUCGGAACAGACUUUGGCUUAAAAUGGAAUACGGAAGAAAAAAUCUGGAAUCUCUGUUGCCCAGGCGAUCCAUUGACUCGUAGCAAUCUCUUAAUUUGUUUUUUAUUUUACACUAAUAAACAUUAUUAUUACACAAUGCCUCUUCUAACAGAAAAA